rnacentral:tRNA from 1 species
GCCGGUAUAGCUCAGUUGGUAGAGCACCUGACUUGUAAUCAGGUGGUCGCGGGUUCGACUCCUGCUGCCGGCA